rnacentral:sRNA from 1 species
AAUCAAAAACAAAACAAAAA